AAAACGAAUCAGAGAAGCAGUCGUUCUCAUGCUAUUUUUAGGAUGAUUUUGGAAAGUAGAGAGAAAGAUGAACCCUCUAAUUGUGAAGGAUCUGUCAAGGUGUCCCAUUUGAAUUUGGUUGAUCUUGCAGGCUGAGAAAGAGCUGAACAAACAGGUGCUGAAGGUGUGAAACUCAAGGAAGGCUGUAAUAUAAAUCGUAG